rnacentral:tRNA from 1 species
GCGCCGGAAAACAAUCUAGCCUUGCUUUCCGAUUCCAAAGGUCACAGGUUCGAAUCCUGUCGGGUGCGCCA